UACGAGGGGGGCAAGCGUUGUUCGGAAUUACUGGGCGUAAAGGGCGCGUAGGCGGUCAGCACAAGUCAGUUGUGAAAUCUCCGGGCUUAACUCGGAAAGGUCAACUGAUACUGUGCGACUAGAGUGCAGAAGGGGCAACUGGAAUUCUCGGUGUAGCGGUGAAAUGCGUAGAUAUCGAGAGGAACACCUGCGGCGAAGGCGGGUUGCUGGGCUGACACUGACGCUGAUGCGCGAAAGCCAGGGGAGCGAACGGG
rnacentral:rRNA from 1 species